UAUAGGUUUGGUCCCAGCCUUCCUGUUAACUUUCAAUAGACUUAUACAUGCAAGCAUCCACGCCCCGGUGAGUAACGCCCUUCGAAUCACACAGGACUAAAAGGAGCAGGUAUCAAGCACACACUCUUGUAGCUCACAACGCCUUGCUUAACCACACCCCCACGGGAGACAGCAGUAACAAAAAUUAAGCCAUAAACGAAAGUUUGACUAAGCCAUAUUGACUAGGGUUGGUAAAUCUCGUGCCAGCCACCGCGGUCAUACGAUUGACCCAAGCUAACAGGAGUACGGCGUAAAGCGUGUUUAAGCAUCAUACUAAAUAGAGUUAAAUUUUAAUUAAACUGUAAAAAGCCAUAAUUAUAACAAAAAUAAAUGACGAAAGUAACCCUACAAUAGCUGAUACACCAUAGCUAAGACCCAAACUGGGAUUAGAUACCCCACUAUGCUUAGCCCUAAACACAAAUAAUUAU
rnacentral:rRNA from 1 species